rnacentral:pre_miRNA from 1 species
UCUGCUUUGUACCAUAAGCGAGGUAUAGAGUUCCUACUUGAUUAUUGAGUUUGUAGGAACUUCAUACCGUGCUCUUGGAGAGCUAGU